rnacentral:rRNA from 1 species
UACGUAGGGGUCGCAAGCGUUGUCCGGAUUUACUGGGCGUAAAGAGCGCGCAGGCGGUCGUUCAAGUCGCGUGUGAAAGCCCCCGGCUCAACUGGGGAGGGUCACGCGAUACUGAUCGACUGGAAGGCAGGAGAGGGUAGUGGAAUUCCCGGUGUAGUGGUGAAAUGCGUAGAUAUCGGGAGGAACACCGGUGGCGAAGGCGGGUCUCUGGGCCGAUACUGACGCUGAGGAGCGAAAGCGUGGGGAGCGAACAGG